GAUGAACGCUGGCGGCGUGCCUAAUACAUGCAAGUCGAGCGAACAGACGAGGAGCUUGCUCCUCUGACGUUAGCGGCGGACGGGUGAGUAACACGUGGAUAACCUACCUAUAAGACUGGGAUAACUUCGGGAAACCGGAGCUAAUACCGGAUAAUAUAUUGAACCGCAUGGUUCAAUAGUGAAAGACGGUUUUGCUGUCACUUAUAGCUGGAUCCGCGUCGCAUUAGCUAGUUGGUAAGGUAACGGCUUACCAAGGCAACGAUGCGUAGCCGACCUGAGAGGGUGAUCGGCCACACGGGAACUGAGACGCGGUCCAGACUCCUACGGGAGGCAGCGGUAGGGAAUCUUCCGCAAUGGGCGAAAGCCUGACGGAGCAACGCCGCGUGAGUGAUGAAGGUCUUCGGAUCGUAAAACUCUGUUAUUAGGGAAGAACAAAUGUGUAAGUAACUAUGCACGUCUUGACGGUACCUAAUCAGAAAGCCACGGCUAACUACGUG
rnacentral:rRNA from 1 species